rnacentral:rRNA from 1 species
UGCGUAGGCGGCCCGUUAAGUCAGGGGUGAAAGGCUGUAGCUCAACUACAGAAUUGCCUUUGAUACUGACAGGCUUGAAAUAAAUUGAGGUUGGCGGAAUGUGACAUGUAGCGGUGAAAUGCAUAGAUAUGUCAUAGAACACCAAUUGCGAAGGCAGCUGACUAGAUUUUAUUUGACGCUGAGGCACGAAAGCGUGGGGAGCGAACAGGAUUAGAUACCCUGGUAGUCC